rnacentral:rRNA from 1 species
UGGGGGAGGUCCUCGGAAACUGUAAGGCUGGGGCCCAGGAGAGGGGAGCGGAACUUCUAGAGUAGCGGUGAAAUGCGCAGAUACUAGAAGGUACCUCGAUAGCGAAGGCAGCUCCCUGGCCUGGUGCCGACGCUGACGCGCGAAAGCGUGGGGAGCAAACCGGAUUAGAUACCCGGGUAGUCCACGCCCCAAACGAUGCCGGCUAGGUGUCGGCUCUUAUAAAUUUGGGUCGGUGCCGCAGCAAACGCGUUAAGCCGGCCGCCUGAGUAGUACGGCCGCAAGGCUAAAACUCAAGGGAAUUGACGGGGGCCCACACAAGCGGUGGAGCACGUGGUUCAAUUCGACGGUAAGCGAAGAACCUUACCAGGGCUUGACAUGCACGUAGUAAGAACCCGAAAGGGGGAUGAUUUCUAGUCGUAAGACCAGGAAAGCGUGCACAGGUGCUGCAUGGCUGUCGUCAGCUCGUGUCGUAGGACGUCGGGUUAAGUCCCGUAACGAGCGCAACCCUUGCCCCUAGUUGCUAACAGGAAAGCUGAGCACUCUAGCGGGACUGCCGGUGAAUAGCCGGAGGAAGGAGGGGAUGACGUCAAGUCAGCAUGGCCCUUAUGUCCUGGGCGACACACGUGCUACAAUGGCCAGUACAAAGGGUCGCCAACCCGCAAGGGGGAGCUAAUCUCAAAAAGCUGGCCUCAGUUCAGAUUGGGGUCUGCAACUCGACCCCAUGAAGCUGGAAUCGCUAGUAAUCGUGGGUCAGCCACACCACGGUGAAUGAGUACUUGGGCCUUGUACACACCGCCCGUCACACCAGCCGAGUGGGGUGCA